rnacentral:misc_RNA from 1 species
AACGCACGAGACCUGCGGACCUGCGGAAGGAUCAUUACCGAGUUUACAACUCCCAAACCCAAUGUGAACGUUACCAAACUGUUGCCUCGGCGGGAUCUCUGCCCCGGGUGCGUCGCAGCCCCGGACCAAGGCGCCCGCCGGAGGACCAACCAAAACUCUUAUUGUAUACCCCCUCGCGGGUUUUUUUAUAAUCUGAGCCUUCUCGGCGCCUCUCGUAGGCGUUUCGAAAAUGAAUCAAAA